rnacentral:rRNA from 1 species
CUAUACUAUUCAGAGUUUGAUCCUGGCUCAGGAUGAACGCUAGCGGCAGGCCUAACACAUGCAAGUCGAGGGGCAACGAGGAGUAGCAAUACUCUGUCGGCGACCGGCGCACGGGUGCGUAACGCGUAUGCGACCUACCUAUAACAGGGAGAUAACCCAGAGAAAUUUGGACUAAUAUCCCAUAUUAUUAUUGAGCUGCAUGGUUUGAUAAUGAAAGACGCGAGUUGGUUAUAGAUGGGCAUGCGUGACAUUAGCUAGUUGGUAAGGUAACGGCUUACCAAGGCGACGAUGUCUAGGGGAACUGAGAGGUUAAUCCCCCACACUGGUACUGAGACACGGACCAG